AAGUGUCCCUCUAUAUGGGGCAUAUCAACAACCAUAUAUGAUCACACUUACUCCUUUGCUACUACAUAUAUGAAAGCAAGAUUAAGAAGGUUUGACAUAAUAUCAAAGAUGUUCAUGUAUGUCUUGUGUAUUUAUUAUUUGUAUUCUUGAAUCUUAACUUGUAUUCAUGAAUGAAAAGGAAGAAAGUGUGAGAGUUAUAAUUGAUGAGAUUUUAGGUUGUGAUUGUGAUAUUUUAUGAUAGAAAU
rnacentral:lncRNA from 1 species